rnacentral:rRNA from 1 species
CCUACGGGAGGCAGCAGUGGGGAAUAUUGCACAAUGGGGGAAACCCUGAUGCAGCGACGCCGCGUGAGUGAAGAAGUAUCUCGGUACGUAAAGCUCUAUCAGCAGGGAAGAAAAUGACGGUACCUGCCUAAGAAGCCCCGGCUAACUACGUUACAGCAGCCGCGGUAAGACGUAGGGGACAAGCGUUAUCCGGAUUUACUGGGUGAAAGGGGAGCGUAGACGGCAUCACAAGUCUGGAGUGAAAUCCCGGGGCUUAACCCCGGAACUGCUUUGGAAACUGUGCGGCUGGAGUGCAGGGGGGGUAAGCGGAAUUCCUAGUGUAGCGGUGAAAUGCGUAGAUAUUAGGAGGAACACCGGUGGCGAAGGCGGCUUACUGGACUGUAACUGACGUGGAGGCUCGAAAGCGUGGGGAGCAAACAGGAUUAGAUACCCUUGUAGUC